rnacentral:lncRNA from 1 species
CAAGAGAGUACUCUACAUUGGUGCGGUUAAGAAAGAUAUCACACACGUACUUGAUCGACUCCAAUAAAAGAGUAAGUUAUUGUUAGUAUGAUUCAUGUUUCUCUGUAAGGGCUCUUGUUCAAAUAGUUUAAUAUAUAAUAGUCUAAAAGCGUUACAUUGUUUGUAUUUGUAUAAUGACAACCGUUAAACAAAGAAAGUAACGUAAACAUUUAUUAAGUGAAAAUUUGUUCCGCUCACUAUAUACAAGUAACAUGAACCGUUAUGUAAUUUCCGAUAACAAAAAAAUUAUUAAUUCGAACAAACCAGCUGGAUUUAUUUAAACUACAACACAAAGUUAACUUAAGUAUACUAAAAAAAGACUACAAAAUUUCGCUUCCAUUGUCAACUUCUAAUUGUCAAGCAUAUGAUGAUAUGAUAUAGGAAUAACAACUUUGAGUAACAUUGUAUAAACUAUAAACUAUAAAGCUCUGCCAACUACGUACUGCCCCCAUCUCAAAAUGUCCGUAUCUCUUUCUUUUUCAAAUCAAAUUAAAGACUUUAUCUUCAACAAUUUGCAAGAAGAUAAAAAGGAAACAAUUGAAGAGAAUAUCUCGCCCUACUAAUUAGAAUUGAUACUCUGUUUAUUCCAUUAAAUACCAAGCAAAUUAGGAUAUAACUCACUACCAAAUUGAAGAAAAUAGCAUCAAGUAUAUCCAAAUACAUUAAAUUUAUUUCCAUGUUCGACAAUAUCUACAAUAUACCUUUCAUAAAUUCAAUCCCAUGCGUUUAUGUAGGUCACAAAUGCAUUACGCAUGUCAAAAUACAAA